rnacentral:piRNA from 1 species
UCCAGAGGGAAUAUCUGUGUGGUUCAGG